CGGAACUUUGGUAGUAGUAAUUCGAGGAUAGCUUCAUUCAUGCCGGUUCUCGGUCAAGCAAAAGCGCCACCAUACCAAUUCCGAAGAAGAGAGAGAAAGUCUGCUGACGCCGUCGAGUUUCUCUCUCUAAAACCCGCACAUAUUCAUCUAAUCCUUGUAAGAUUUUGUGUUAAUUUCUCUUUUGUGAAUUGACUUUUUUUUAUAUAUUAAUAGUAUUUGGUGUAUAAUUUUGAUCAAAGUUAUUUCAGGUUUGCUGAUUGUUUUUUCACUUGCAAUAUGAUUCAGAUCAAUUAUUAAUUGGAUAUUUC
rnacentral:lncRNA from 1 species